CCAGCUCGCGCGCGGUUAAAAUGAAGAGAAGAGCGUGUGCUUGUUACUUUCGUCAAUUUGGUGCAUACGGCUACUGCCCCACAGUGUGGUACUGUACGUGCUGCAAUGGAACGGUGAAAAAUGAAAAAGGAUCGACGGUACUGGCCUGCAGGCCAUGAGGAAGAAGGUGCUGGAGCAUAUGCGGAUUUUUUUUCCUUUUUAUCUUCUAUAUAUUUUUUCUUUCGAAAUUACCCAAAUUGUCCAUUAUGUAUUACCGAGCUUUUCUUCUUCUUACCAACUGUUUUUACUGAACUAUUACAGUGUAUACUUGUGACAUACUAUAUCCUAUAUUCUUGCUGUGCUUGCACCAGCAUUCUUCUGAGUAUAUAUGAACUCCAUCACUGCAUGCCUACUGUGUUUUCUGUAUUUUAAUGGCUAGAGGCAGAUGCAGGAUAAAGUUACAUGUUCACCUCUGAUUAUACUCUAGAUCUGAUGCCUAAAUUAUUGUAAGCUUAUUCUGGUUUUAGAUCCCAUAAGGAUCUCUCUUCCAAAUAUUAUUACUACAAUGCCAUGGUUAGUACGAACCCUUGGGGUGUAGUAUAGUCCUCACAUGCAUGCCAACCUACAUUACCAUGCUAUAUGAAAUGUAAUAGCAAGAGGAGGCACACAAAUAGUUUUUCUACAACUACAAAUAUGUACCGUAAGCGAGCUAGAAACGAUUGUGAUAUUACAAUCACCUAAUAACAAGGUACAUGAGCGGUCUUGCGCUAAUAAUCAACACCUAAGUAUAACUCCGUUGUUAUUCUACAAUCUAUGGAAUAGAUGAGCGGCCUUGUGCUCCUAUCACAUUUAUGGAUUCCGGUAUUAGAAUAUGAAAUUAAUAAUUCUACUCAAACCAUCAAUGGUGUGAAAAGAAGGAUUCAAUGAUUUGUUUGACCUAAUUCAAUACAUUGCAAAACGCACCAGUUUAGGGGGUCGAGGGAAAGAGAGAACGGACAUCAUAGUCCAAUGCCAAGUCACAAAUUAUGCUACAAGGCACAAAGAAGUUGUUCAGUAGCAAGAUAUAUAAAAGAACAAUAUGUGGCAAAAAGGCGUUGAGUCUGCUGCGGCCACCAAGACAAUUGAGGCCAGGGCCACUACCACCCCUAGGAGAAGCUACCCAUGCCAUCGAUGGUAGCAUUCUUACUCGAUCAUUGGUAGGUGUUGAAAUAUGUAUGAAAUAUGUGUGUGUAUGUGUCUAGCCUAUCAGCUUAUGUCUAGUCACUUGUAUAUAAACGUCCCAAGCUACAAGUGUUUGAAUCAAACACCUAACCCUUAACUAAUUACAUGUCCGGUUGUUGCUCGACACGUACACACGCGUAUUCGACCCAUAUAACAACUUUGCAAAUAUUACCUCGCCGUCUUGAAGCCGCCAUCCAUGAACCUUCGUGUGUACAUUGAACUUGAACUAUUAAUCUUGAGCUCCACUGCUAUUUUCUUGACAACCGUUGCAACUGGAGUCAUGUGAUCCAGUAGGUUAGACACAAACCAUCAAGCGAUUGUGCGAUGUUGAUUUAGUACUACAUGCGGAGGAGCGUCCAUUUCAUCCCUUGGGGAGUAGGUAAGAUUGCCAACCCUCAUUAACAAAUACCGAUGUAGUGCUGUGAUUACCUGUCCUAAGAUAAUUGACCACACAUCGGAUUUCUAACAGUGGGUUUGUCACAAGUAUGUGUAUGGUCUUCUAGGAGCCGGGAAUGGAAUUCUUUGCUAUAUUGAAAAGUCCAUCCCUUUUUGUGUCAUUGUCGACCGCUGUAAACUCAAUUCUCCCUCCUGCGGGACUUAGCAUCGCAGCCAAAGUUGUUAAAAUCCGAGGUUUUGAAGCUGACUCUUUGGCAAUAUCACAAAUCAUAGGAAUACAAUUGUUAGGAUUGUAAAAUGAUAAAUUCUACUUGUUAGAAUCGUAGAACAAAGCUAUACAAAAUCAUAGCACUAGUCAAAUUAAUUUGGAUCUUGUAGAAUCACACAAUAGAAUCAAGAUGCACGCAACCUUGAUUGUUGGUUCGGCUUGCCCACUCUAAGAAGCAUGUACGGAUUUUGAGGAGAAAGACAAAGGAUUGGAGGCGAGGUUGGGUUUUUUGUGUGGAAAAGGAGGUGACCUCCUACAUCUGCAUCACUGGGAUGCACACACAACCAACUUUAUUAUGUAUCAACCAUUUGUCAUAAAAAAAUAGAAAACGGAAAAAAGACCAUGCACGACCGGUCGAUAACAACAAUACAUGACUACAGACAUAACCUAGAUAUUUGAAGGCUACGAGGGUAAAAGUCUUUGUUUGAAGAGUUUUUCGUUGGGCCAAAAGGAUUGUCACCAAUGGAGUGAUAUAAUUUUUUUAUUACACCCAUGAGUACCAUCUUUAAUUGUCGGGAGGGAGUUAUGAACUCAGCAAAAAUGCCGCCUAUUCGAAAUAUGUUUUUGCUUCAAAAUGAUUUUGUAUUCGGAUUAGGGAUGUCUUUGACCAAUUCUAACAUUGCGGAGGAAACACAUUCUAGAGAAGAAUCCUCACCAAAUCACACACUUGAUACACUCCGGGUGGCGCUUCAAAAUUGUACCUGGGCGUACGUGGUGGAGAUGAGAUGCCCUAUUUUUGGCUGACUCGGAGUUAGCGCCAGGGUGUCGAUAGAAUACUGAUCCAUUUGGCAAGCAUACAAAAUUGGUUUGGGGUCAGGGCUGGCAGCGGCGGCAGCAGCUGGGGAUCCGUAUAGAAACGGUUGAAGCGCGUGGGGUGGCGUGCCCUGCCAUAAAAAGUUAGAAAGAUAGGGGCGCUGUGGGAUUGAUGCCUCCUGUUUAAUUGUUGGGAGAAGGUGGAGGUUGCAGCUGCGGGCGCUCGCUCACCACGGGCGCACCGCACAUGCAUCCCUUUUCUACUGCUAGUACUGCCUUUUAAAAUUACUGUAUUAUUUACUUCGUUAUAUUUUUCUAAACAACGUGAGAAUUCUUAGUUUAUGUUUUGACUACUGGGAAGAAACGAGUUGGACUCGGUUUGGAAAACAUCUCUCUUUCCUUGGCUUGGGCAAUUGGCAUGAGAAGGGAGGGCCGGCUCUACUUUGUUCUGGCUGCAUGCAGGCUGAAUGAUGCACAUGGGAAGGUCGGGAAAAAAAAGGGGGUGUGAAAUUAGGGCUCUGGCAUGCACAGAGGAGCCCACGCUGCAAUCUUGUACCCUUUUGUUUUGCGCCCUUUUCUUCUUUUCACCACUGGCAUUUACUCGGCAUCUUUUACCUUGUCAUAAAAAAAGAGAGUAAGAACUCAUGCAUCAGUGAGCAGCUAGAGAGGACCAAUUAAAUUGCAUGCCAACAAAUGUUGUUUGUUCAUGAGGUUUACCUUUUCUACAAACAGUUUGAGUAGUAGUAGUAACACACAUCCAUCAAUGCACAUAGUUUUACAGCGGUAAGAAAAGGCUAGCCGAUCCAACGUUAAAGGCACUGCACGGAGGCAUUCAAAGUCCAGUAAAAACACAAUUUCUUACUACCUGCUUUGGUAAGUAAUUAUCCGCAGCACGCCAGUACGCACACACUGAGAAGUUUUUUUUGGAAGGGUGCACACACAGACUAAGCAGUUGUGCAUGACAAAGGCAAGCUCGUCAGAAAAAAAAAGUCCCUCGCAUGCAGCUGUAGAUGCAGAGCGGCCGGCUGCAGAAGAUUCUUUUGGUGUGUGAGAGUAGAGUAGGUUUUUAGUAGUACUACAAAAUUCUGUCGCGGUAAAUGAUGCGUCAUGUACAGGGUAAAAGGGUAAAAAAAGAGAAAGAUGGAAGAAAGGCACAGUGCAUGAAUUCUCAUGCUCGGCAGCAUGUGCGGUGACUCCGCGCUUCACGAGACGCUGUUACCUGAGAGUGGGACAGUACUGAAAAACCUCAAGAAACUUCGCUAGGUCAACACCCCGGUGCUACACAGGAUAUUUUAUUUCACCUUUUUUUCUUCCUAAAAUGAAUGUAAACAAGUUUUGGGAUUUCAUUUCAACCCAUAAAUAAAAAGAAAGAAAGGAUGAUAAUGAGAUGCUAUGGCGUGUUUUUUUAGGACGCCGAUAAGUGCCACACGUGUGGGCGUUAGGGAGUCCGCCCACACAUUUUGUGUGGUGUAUAAGAGGAACAGGCCACACACCUACGUGUGGGCAAAACAAUUAGCGCCCACACGCUUUUUUUCCCCUCCCGAUCCCUCUCACACGUGUGCGUGUGGGCGAAGUUGAUAACGCCCACACGUCCAUAUGUCAGGCCUCGUACCUCCUGGUCCCGCACGCCACGCGUGACGGUCACCGCGCGCCCGCAGUUGCCAUGGUCCAGACCCUCGUCCAUGUUCGUUUAAUUGCAGUUGCCAUGUCGCUGAAUUACGGUUGCCAUGUCGGACAACUUCAGUUGCCAUGGUUGCUCAACUGCAGUUGCCAUGUAUGGUCUGAUCUAAUGUAGUUGCCAUGAUUUCAUAACUUUAGGAGUUGCCACAUACUAACACUAGGCAGUUGAGAGAGUUGCCAUGUGCUCACAAGCAUGCUAGGGCAGUUGCCAUGUAAAAAGGAAGAGUUGCCAUCUGCUUGCGUGCAUGUUAGGGCAGUUGCCAUGUACAUGCACGUUAGGACAGUUGCCAUGUAUCAUGCAAAAACAUAUGGCAACUCGGUAAAAGAGAGUUGCCAUCUGCUUACGUGCACACUAGAAAGUUGCCGUGUACCCUGCAAAACACAUGGCAAACUCGGGUAAAAAAAGAGAGUUGCCACCUGCUUAUAAAAGCACACUAGGGGCAGUUGCCAUGUGCAGUGCAAAAACACAUGGCAACUAGCAGCUUGGGUGUGGGAGAGGAGAAGGGCGUGUCGGCAAGAUGCCAAAUGCCCACACACUAGCCCUUGUGUGUGCGUGCAAAGUGGCGUGUGGGCGAACUGCUGAACGCCCACACACCAACCCCUCCUGUGUGGUGAAAUGGCCGUGUGGGCGACCGGCUGAACGCCCACACACCAGGCCAGUCCUACGUGGUACUAAAACAUGCUAAGAUUCGUGCGCUCACGAACGGACGCGGAUCCACGCGUGUGGGCGAGAUGCAAACGCCCACACGUAUGGACGUUAACAUUUCUGUUUUUUUAACACAGUACAUAGGCAAGCGCUCGUACAUACGCGAAUAUACUCACACCCUACUGCUAUGAGCACCUUCGAGAGAUUGAGCCGGCAUAUCAUCUUGAGAUUUAUAAAGUUACCGUAGACGCCUCGUCAUUGACGAAAUGUCUCCUUGCAUUGAAAGUGCAUCGCCGAAAAUCCUAAAAUAAAUCUACGAAUAAUGCAAGCUUCAGGACUUGAACCCUGAUGUGCUGGGAUAUCAUUGUCCCUCUAAUCAUCCAAUCAGAGAUUGGUUCAUGAUGCCAUGGCAUGUUAAUAUGUACUCCCUCCAUCCUAAAAUAAGUAUUUAACUUUGUACUAACUUUCGUAUUAAGUUGUAUUAAGAUUAACACAUUUAUUUUCGGAUGGAGGGAGUAGUACAGUAGAAGACACAUCAACAACUAGAAGAAUUUGUUUUUUUUCUACAACCAGUGUUUACCUCCGAUAGUAUAAUUCAAAAGCUAGCACAAGCAUUUUGCCAGAUAAGUUAUGCACCAGGAGGAGUGUCACAAGUGCAGUCGCCCGGUUAAUGGAUUAUUAGCAGUUACCUGGUGCAGCAAGCAUCAUCACAUGCGUCGCCCAUAUAUAUGCAUGCAACACUUCAUGUCACCCUGCAGUGCAUUAUCUGUCUGCUUGCCCAUUUCUGUUAGUGUGAUGGUUAGGUACAUGAUGGAGAGCAUCGGGCCACUACGUCAGCAGGCGGGAAAAGUAACGACUCUCAGUGUCCAGCAUGUACGGACGAUUGUCGUUCGCGCUCAGGCGCAUGUCUCAAGAUACUGGUAACUCGUGGAUCCACUCGCACCACGGAGUUGCACUAUUCCACAAACCAGAGUUUUUUCUCUCUCUUUUUUAACCGACGAUAUACCAUACACGCCCUCGCCGUCGUUGUUUGAAAUUCACGUCAUGUUUUCUAGUUCAGCAUCAUUUGUCUUAUUUCAAUGAAUUAUAUAGUUUGUCCCCACAAAAAUGUUUUGUUUUUUCCUCUUGUUUUAAACUGUCGAAUUUAUGCCCAUGAACCAAAUAGUCCAUGUACAAAUCUUUUUUUUGACCAUGUAUAUAAAUCUUAUAAAUUUAUUGUUAUGAUUGGCGUCACUUAUAGCCGGAGGAGGCCCAUUAGGCGCGUCUAGUUAGGGGCUUAGCCCAACUUAUUUUAUUUUUAUUAACAAGCGAGGAUUAUAUAAACAUAUGUAAGGAUACCUGCCUUCUAUAAAGCUAAGAUACGCGAUUGCGCACUUAAAAAAAAAA
rnacentral:lncRNA from 1 species